CUCUCUCUCUCGCCCAAAGUCCCAAACUGGAAAUUUCUCAGCUCCGGAACCUCACCGUUCCCGCCGUUAUGAACAUUCUGAUGGCCUAAUCUUCUUCUCGCCGUCAGCUUACAGAGCGUAAACUGAAAAUCAAGCCCAGUUAUAACUAUUUCGUUGCUACUCCAUGCGCCGUUUCGCAUUUGAAGUUGGAUUGCUUGCUUGAAGGGAUAUGGCAUUGUUCUUAUUAAUACUGACGAGGCAGGUACCUUGAUAGUCACCAAUUUUCGGCUUCUUUUUCUGAGUGAGGGAACUAGAAAUGUUAUUCCGCUUGGCACAAUACCUUUGGCAACAAUUGAGAAGUUCAACAAAAUGCAUGUAGGACGGAAGGUGAGGGACAAAUGGAUUUAUUGGUGGAAUCUGAACCUGGGUUCUAGCAGUGUAUUGGUGAUGUCCUAGCCUGCUUGCCAUGUUGCUUGUGAAGUGAGAUUUGUUAUGACUUGGCCCUAAUUGAUUGAACCCUGUUGACUAGUAUUGCUGGUUUGCACAAGUCCGGAUCAGAUUAGGUGAUCAAAACUACUGUUAAGCUAGAUGUCUAGUGUUCUAUUUGAUGCACAAGAUGCAUUAGUUGGUGUAGCUCAUUUGCAGGACAACAAGCAUCAGAAUGUUGAGGACAGAGAGCUUGUGUCUAUCCCUUUUGAUAAUUCCAAGCACAGCUGCCUUGCAUGAAUCACACUCGUAGCAUCACAAGUAGUUCUAAGGUGCUGAUAUAAGAAUUCACCUCUGCCUCUAGCUG
rnacentral:lncRNA from 1 species